AUUGAACGCUGGCGGCAUGCCUUACACAUGCAAGUCGAACGGUAACAGGUCUUCGGAUGCUGACGAGUGGCGAACGGGUGAGUAAUACAUCGGAACGUGCCCGAUCGUGGGGGAUAACGGAGCGAAAGCUUUGCUAAUACCGCAUACGAUCUACGGAUGAAAGCAGGGGACCGCAAGGCCUUGCGCGGACGGAGCGGCCGAUGGCAGAUUAGGUAGUUGGUGGGAUAAAAGCUUACCAAGCCGACGAUCUGUAGCUGGUCUGAGAGGACGACCAGCCACACUGGGACUGAGACACGGCCCAGACUCCUACGGGAGGCAGCAGUGGGGAAUUUUGGACAAUGGGCGAAAGCCUGAUCCAGCCAUGCCGCGUGCAGGAUGAAGGCCUUCGGGUUGUAAACUGCUUUUGUACGGAACGAAAAGACUCUUUCUAAUAAAGAGGGUCCAUGACGGUACCGUAAGAAUAGCACCGGCUAACUACGUG
rnacentral:rRNA from 1 species